UCUGCCCUCCGAUGGGGAAUAACCCCGCGAAAGCGGGGCUAAUACCGCAUAACAUUCCUUGGACUUCGGUCCGUGGAUUCAAAACCGCAAGGUGUCGGAGGAGGAGCCCGCGCCCGAUUAGCUAGUUGGUGAGGUAACGGCUCACCAAGGCAAUGAUCGGUAGCUGGUCUGAGAGGAUGGCCAGCCACACUGGAACUGAGACACGGUCCAGACUCCUACGGGAGGCAGCAGUGGGGAAUCUUGCGCAAUGGGCGAAAGCCUGACGCAGCGACGCCGCGUGGGGGAUGAAGCAUUUCGGUGUGUAAACCCCUUUCGACUGGGACGAAUGCCUCGCAAGAGGAGUGACGGUACCAGUAGAAGAAGCCCCGGCUAACUACGUGCCAGCAGCCGCGGUAAGACGUAGGGGGCCAGCGUUGUUCGGAAUUACUGGGUGUAAAGGGUUCGUACGCGGUGUGGCAAGUCGGGAGUGAAAUCUAUGGGCUUAACUCAUAGGCUGCUUCCGAAACUGCUGUGCUUGAGUGUGGGAGAGGCGCGUG
rnacentral:rRNA from 1 species